CGCACGCCCAAUCACCUCCAACCGCCGCCGAUCCCUUUGUCUGGGCCGCCGUAGCAGGCCAAUAGGAUCGCUUGGGGGCGCGGGCGGCACGCGGGUUGAUCAAUGGGUGCACUCGAGGGCGUGGCUUAUGAGGAAGCGCUGCGGCCCGAAGGAUUCGUAGGGCGCCCGCUGCGGGACUAGAGUGCGGAAGGCCGGUUAGGGCCGCUGCUGCCGGGUUCUGCUCUUCUGAGCCCCGUACUCUAUCUAUCAAGAUAGCACCCGAAAGCCAGCAGGGGGACGUGGGAGGGGACGUCGCAGUUGCAGGAAGCGGGGACGGCGACUUGGAGAGGGUCAGCCCCGCGGCCUCAGAGGACUUCGUCCAGAACAGCCCAUCGCGCCCUGGAAGGACACGCGAAGUGCAGGCGACACAGCCUCCCGGGGGAAAGGAGUGCGUUGUCCGUAAAUCAGUGUUCCGCUUCGAAGUCACCGGGCUUCUUCAGGCUCAUACUCAGGGAGUGCCUGUGGGAUUGGUGGCUGAUGUCCCAGCCUUACCUAGGAGGAGCAGUGGCCCCUCAUUUCCUGAGCUAAACAGCCAGUGCCGGGGAGCAGACCUGGAGGGGACCACAGCCAAGGCUUCGCAGAUUGCUGCUCGGGGCCUCCUCACCCCACAGCUCCUAUACACCGGCAACCUGCCUGGCCUGCCACAGUCUUGAGGCUGCUGAACACUUGCUGAUGGACCAACAGAACCUCACAACCUGAGGUGACACAUCAGGCUCGAGGGCCUGGGUGCCCACAACCAAAGUAAACCAGCAGUGAACAACAGAACUACCAUCAAUCUGGGUGCCGAGUGGCUUGGGCAGUCAAGACCAAAGUGGAACCGUGGCCACGCUCUCAGAGAGGAAGGUGCUUCCCUUUUGUUUGGGCUGUUAUGCCAGGCUGUAUAUAUCAGCACCAUCAAAAGUACAGUUAAUUUAGCUCAAAUUGAUCUCAGACUAAAUAAUUCGACCUGGUU